AGGCCCAAGAGUUAUCCAAAAAGAUUUGCAAGAUUUUUUGUUGUUCUCAGUAAUUGCUGAACUACUUUUGAUCAAACUUUCCUAAAACCUUCACCCUUGGCCAAAGAUCCCAUCUGGAAAACGUCACCUAGAAAGCUCUACUCACGCCAUCAACACUUGAAAGACAAAGGAAGCAUCAUUGAGCUCGCAGAGGUGUCUGACUCAGAGGAAUCCAACCAGACUGGUGUAAUCAUAUGACAUGACAGAAUCUUUGACCAACUGCUACCAAAAUCCACUUGUUUCUUUUUGUGGAAGGAGGCAAUCUGUACCAGAG